rnacentral:rRNA from 1 species
AUACGGAGGAUCCGAGCGUUAUCCGGAUUUAUUGGGCUUAAAGGGUGCGCAGGCGGCCAUUUAAGUCAGCGGUUAAAUCGUGGGGCUCAACCCCAUUCUGCCGUUGAUACUGGGUGGCUUGAUUGCGGUCGAGGUUGGCGGAAUUCGUUGUGUAGCGGUGAAAUGCAUAGAUAUGACGAAGAACACCGAUUGCGUAGGCAGCUGACCAGACCGCAAAUGACGCUCAUGCACGAAAGUGCGGGGAUCGAACAGGAUUAGAUACCCUGGUAGUCCGCACAGUAAACGAUGAAUACUUGUUUUCGGCGAUAUAAUGUCGGAGGCAAAGCGAAAGCGAUAAGUAUUCCACCUGGGGAGUACGCCGGCAACGGUGAAACUCAAAUGAAUUGACGGGG